UCGUCGAGUCCAUGCAUCUAUGACGCGGGCGCUGGGCGCACGCGGACGGGACCGCAGGCGAAAGCCAAAACCGGCCUGCUUCCUCACACCUCACACCUCACACCUCGCCUGGGCGACUGGCGUCGCGCCCUCUAUAAACCACCACUCUUCUCCCCCACAGCACUCUCUCCCUCCCAUCCCCUCCCUCGUCGUCUCGCCACUCGCAACACCCCAAAAACCUCACGGGCUCUCGACCCCUCGCGCUCGCCUCGUCGCCACGCCGGCGUGAGGGGCGCCCACCCCCGUGCCUAUAUAACGCUGCCGGAGCGGAGGUACUCGUCCCUCUUAUCCCGUCGCCCAGAUCUAAUUCUGUUUAACGCCUUCGUCUCCGCGGCGUCAGGGCGAUCCCGCCGAGGUCAGGGUAUAAGCUGGUAUCAUGGCGUCCAGCGCAGUAGCACCAAGAUGGUUAAGGGGUAAGGUGAAGGCUGUGACAUCUGGGGAUUGUCUUGUAAUUAUGGGGUGCACAAAGGCUGAGAUCGAACCUGAGAAGUCCAUCACCUUAUCCUACCUUAUGGCCCCAAGGCUGGCUCGUCGUGGUGGAGUUGAUGAGCCGUUUGCAUGGGAAAGCAGAGAGUUUCUGAGGAAGCUCUGCAUAGGGAAGGAGGUCACAUUCAAAGUGGAUUAUACAGCUCCUAAUAUUGGACGAGAAUUUGGAACUGUUUUUCUAUGUGAUAAGAAUGUUGCAUACUCAGUAGUUUCUGCUGGAUGGGCAAAGGUAAAGGAGCAAGGCUCCAAGGGUGGCGAACAAAACCCGCACCUUGGUGAGUUGUUGAGGUUAGAGGAAGUUGCCAAGCAACAGGGUGUUGGUCGUUGGAGCAAGGAACCUGGUGCUGCUGAAGAGUCAAUAAGAUAUCUUCCACCAUCUGCAAUUGGUGAAGCAAGUGGUUUUGAUGCGAAGGGUUUUGCGGUUGAAAAUAAAGGCAAGAGUUUGGAGGCCAUUGUUGAACAAGUACGCGAUGGCAGUACUGUUCGUGUGUAUUUAGUCCCUAGUUUUCAGUUUGUCCAGAUAUAUGUUGCUGGAGUACAGGCCCCAUCAAUGGGGAGACGCCCAUCGGCACCUACUGUAAUUGCUGAAACUGAUGAUACUGCUAAUGACACGAACGGUGAAGAUUCUGAGGGAACACCUGCCCAACUGACUACAGCACAAAGACUUGUUGCAUCUGCAGCUUCUGCUGAAAUUCCACCAGAUAGGUAUGGAAGAGAAGCCAAGCACUUCACAGAGGCUAGAGUUCUCAGCAGAGAUGUGCGUAUCGUGGUGGAAGGCACAGACAGCUUUAGUAAUAUAAUUGGUUCUGUGUAUUACCCUGAUGGAGAGACUGCAAAGGACUUGGCCCUUGAGCUUGUCGAAAAUGGGCUUGCAAAAUAUGUUGAGUGGAGUGCUAAUAUGCUUGAUGUUGAAGUAAAAAUAAAGCUGAAGAACGCAGAACUACAGGCUAAAAAGGAUCAAUUGAGAAUCUGGACAGGGUUCAAGCCACCUGUGACAAACUCGAAGCCCAUUCAUGACCAGAAAUUUACUGGAAAAGUGGUAGAGGUUGUAAGUGGGGAUUGCAUUAUUGUGGCUGAUGAUUCUGCUCCAUAUGGCAGUCCUUCAGCCGAACGUCGGGUUAAUCUGUCAAGCAUUAGGGCCCCUAAGUUGGGCAAUGCUCGUACAGAUGUGAAGCCUGACCAUUUUGCUCGUGAAGCUAAGGAGUUCUUGCGCAUGAGGUUGAUUGGCAAGCAAGUGGCUGUUGAAAUGGAAUAUUCUCGAAGGAUCAGCACCGUGGAUGGACAGAGUGUUGCUCCAACAGCAAACAUUGCUGAUACAAGAGUAUUAGAUUAUGGUUCAGUUUUUCUGGGUUCACCAUCACAGACUGAUGGAGAUGACAUAUCUUCUGCUCCGAGCUCUGCCAGCCAGCCUGGAGUUAAUGUUGCUGAACUUUUACUCUCACGAGGCUUUGCUAAAACAUCUAAACACAGGGAUUAUGAGGAAAGGUCGCACUAUUAUGAUGCUCUAUUAGCAGCUGAAUCACGGGCUGAGAAAGCAAAGAAAGGAGUGCAUUCUCAAAAAGAAUCUCCUGUGAUGCAUAUAACAGAUUUAACAACUGUAUCUGCAAAGAAGGCCAAAGAUUUCCUUCCCUUCUUGCAGAGGAACAGAAGGCAUUCUGCCGUUGUUGAAUAUGUUUUUAGUGGCCAUCGGUUCAAACUAACAAUUCCUAAGGAGACUUGCAGUAUUGCCUUCUCAUUAUCUGGUGUUCGGUGUCCUGGUAAAGGCGAGCCAUACUCAGAUGAAGCUAUUGCUUUGAUGAGGAGAAGGAUACUACAGCGUGAUGUGGAGAUAGAGGUUGAAGCAGUUGACAGAACAGGAACAUUCAUAGGUUCGUUGUGGGAGUCCAAGACCAACAUGGGCUCUGUACUUCUGGAAGCUGGGCUGGCGAAGCUGAGUUCUUUUGGCUUGGAUAGGAUGUCAGAUGCUCAUGUCCUAACAAGAGCUGAACAGUUUGCGAAGCAACAAAAGAUUAAGAUAUGGGAGAACUAUGUCGAGGGUGAGAAUGCUUCAAAUGGAUCCGCACCUGAAUCGAAACAAAAGGAAAUCCUCAAGGUUGUCGCCACGGAAGUUCUUGGUGGUGGGAAGUUUUAUGUUCAGACAGUGGGUGACCAGAGGGUGGCUUCAAUUCAACAGCAGCUUGCAUCUUUGAAACUUAAAGAUGCACCAGUCAUUGGUGCCUUUAAUCCUGUGAAGGGAGAGAUAGUCCUCUCACAAUUUAGCCUUGACAACUCCUGGAACAGAGCUAUGAUUGUUAAUGGACCUCGCUCUGUAGAAUCUCUAAACGACAAGUUUGAAGUAUUCUAUAUCGACUAUGGCAACCAAGAGGUGGUUCCCUACAGUCGUCUACGACCCGUGGACCCAUCUGUUUCCUCUUCUCCUGCUCUUGCUCAGUUAUGCAGCCUUGCUUUCAUAAAAGUGCCCAGUCUUGAGGAUGACUUUGGUCAGGAAGCAGCAGAGUAUCUAAGUGAAUGUUUGCUCAGUAGCUCAAAGCAAUAUCGGGCAAUGAUCGAAGAACGUGAUGCUUCUGGGGGAAAAUCAAAGGGACAAGGAACCUGAAAUGUUCUCAUUGUUACUCUUGUUGAUGCGGAGACAGAAAGUAGCAUAAAUGCUACCAUGCUUGAGGAAGGCCUUGCUCGGCUUGAAAGAAGCAAGAGAUGGGACACUAGGGAGAGGAAGACGGCUCUCCAGAACCUGGAACAGUUCCAGGAGAAGGCAAAGAAGGAAAGGCUCCGGAUCUGGCAGUAUGGCGAUGUUGAAUCGGAUGAGGACGAGCAGGCCCCAGCUGCAAGGAAGCCUGGAGGUCGUCGGUAGAGCUCCCCAAAUGUGAGACUCUGCUGGGAGUUAUAGAUGCAACUUAGAGGGUACCUUAUUUAUUCGGUUAGAAAACAGAACUUAGCGAGGCGAAACUUUCUCGGUUUGAGCACUUUUGAUAUUCCGUUUUUUACAUCGUAAGCUUAUAAGGUUAAAGGUACAUUGUUUUUUCUCUGAACACAAUAAAGGUCGUCUAUGCGCUGCAGUUCUUUGUGUAGUCAGAAUAUAAUAUUUGUUGAUACUAAGAAAUGCAGUGAAUUAAAGUUAAUAUUGCAUUUAAUUA